GGCGACUAUCUUCUUUGACUCAAAACUGAGCUGACGACGAGGGAGGUUUGCUUGUAACGUUAACAGGAAAAACACAGAAAUAAAAACAAAUAACUGCAGACCAACA